UUAAUGAGGCUGCCGGGUCAGGCCGAGAGGGACUGCGCAGGAACGCAGCACCAGGCGCCUCAUGCAGCGGGACAGGGACGUGCGUGGGGCACAGACGGCCCCUUCCCUGCCGCUCCGUGGGGCCCAGGGCGACUGACACCCCUCUCUGCACAGCCCCGUCCCCUCUCCAGGGACCCUGCCUCUCGGGCAGCGGUUCUCUGUGAGGACGCUGGGCCAUUUCUGGAGGAGUCUGGGCAGUCGGGGGGGUGCUGCUGGGGCCAGGGCUGCGGGUGCUGUGAGCAUCACACGAUGCUGGAGCGGCCCCGCCCCGCCCGAGAACGGUCCAGCCCAGUCGGUCAGCAGGCCGAGGGGAGAACUCUGCACGGAGCACGGCCCGCACAGGAGGCGCCCGGGCAUGCGGAGGCCAAGACGGCCGAGCUGUGGCCGGCAGAGGUGGGCCUGACUCAGCGGGGCGCAGGGCGUCCUGAACUGCUGAGUCACAGCCGAGGAAGUUGGCACCGUCUCCCCCGACUGGCCCAGCACCUGCUCAGCGACAGAGCCCAGACGAGCCCCGGGCGCAGGCCCCCUGAGGGCUGGAGUCCCCGAGACCCCGACCUGGCCCUUCCUCAGCCCCCCAGCCCCCCAGGACUGUGCCACAGCAGCGGCACUGUGUCCCCCUUGGCACUGAGGGGCGCCAGGUGGGCCUCUCCUUCCUGGGCCCUGUGCAGCCCCUUCCCACCACGACCCCAGUCCCUGAGGGGAACCAGAGCCUGUUGUCCCAUCUUCUCCCCACUCACUUCCUGCCCCCAGACCACCUGGGUGGGGAGGGACAAGCUCCCCGCCAGGACCCUGCACGGAGGGAGCAGGAUCGCCGCAGACUCCACACUGCACGGGAUUGGGAGGGUGCUGACCAGUGUCCCCCUGCUCCUGUCCCCCGCCAGCCGCUGCCCAGAGGGGGCCUGGCCAGUAUUUUAUGGGGAGGUAACCCACAUUAGGGUGUUUAGCCAGGGCCACACAUGGCGCAGUGGAGGAAAAGUCCCUGCCACUUCAGAUCAUCGGCACUGUGGCAAGGCACAAGGCCUUGCCUGUGGUUUGUGGUGGUAAAAACUGCCAGUCAUUAUGCAUGGCACACACUGCUUGACAGUGAUAAGGAGCAGCUGGCCUAUGAUUUACUAUUCCUUUCUCAUUAGAGUGUGGUCCUACUGAUUAAAAAGAAAAAAAACCUUCCGUUACGCCAGCUCUCUGGGAGGCUGAAGACGGAGGAGGCUUGAAGUUGAAAUCCACCCUGGACAACUUCCCGACGUAGCAAGACCCUGUCUCAGAACAAAAGGAAAGGUCUGGGGAUGUAGUUCAGUGUGAAGGCCCCGGGUUCAACCACAGUCCCUCCGGCCCCCGCCAUGGUUUACUGCACAACAGUAUGCAUUUGCCGGCAGCAGCCUCCCACCUGUCAUGUUUUCCUGGGUUACUUUUGUUUUGUUUUGGUACCAGGGAUCGAACUCGGGACCUUGUGCCUGCAAAGCAAGCAGCAGAACCACUGAGCUAAAUCCCCGGCCCCAUGUUUAUUUUUAUUUCCUGCCUGUGAGGGAAGUGCUCUACCACUGAGCCCUUGCCCGGCCCCAACACAUUCCCUGAGCACCAGAGGCUGCCCUGAGGGACUGACCCAUCCACACUCCAAUGACAAAAUUACCUGGGGACAGAGUCCUCAGAAUGCUCCCCAUCAUGAGGUGUCAUGUGACUAGGAGUACCAGGGACAUGGUGGCCACUCCAGCCAUUAUGGUGGCGGAGCCUCCUGAGAUAGCCAUGCUGCAUGUGGAGUCCACCCUUGGGUGGUGCCAGGCCCGCUGGGUGGAGGGAGGUCCUAGGACAGCUGGAGGGGACCCAAGAGAACAAGGCUGACAUCACAUCCAAUGCACCCACCCUCCCUCAAAACCUUUGCCAGGCUUUGGCAGUAGCUGAGCUGAUUCUAUGAAAAUCAAAGCACUGAAAAUGGCCAAGACAACCUUAAAGAAAAGUAAAUGUGGAGGGCCUGCACCGUCAGAGCUCGGGAGCCACAAAGCUCCAUCAGGCCCCGUGGUGCCGGCUAAGAUGGGAGACACAGGCCAGGAGGGAGCUGAGACAGACACCACACCGAUGUGCUCACCUGGCUCAGUAAAACUCCUCACAACUUGAGGGGGUGUGAAGGGAAGGUCUUUGAAAAGAAUAGUUCUGAGGUACCUGGCUUUUCAUAAAGGGAAAAAAUUAAUCCUGACCUCUGCUUUACUCCAAGCACAGAAUUAAUUUGGAAUGGAUCUUUGGAAUGGAUCAUAGGCUUAAAUUUGAAAGCUAAAAUGGUAAAGCUCCCAAGAGCAUGAAAAGGAGAAUACUUUCAUGACUUUGAAGCAAAAAACAAAACAAAACAAAACAAAACAAUAAAAUCAGUGCGUUAGGCAGGCAUAAAAGACACCAACCACAGAGCAAGGGUGCUGCUCCCCACGAGGGGCUGGGAGCUUCCGUUACCACUCAGCACAGGAAGCCCCGCCGAGCCCUAAGAAGAGCCUGAGAGCUCUCCAGGGAUGGGUGGGGAAAGAAACAUCCCUCCACUUCGGAGAAAGUUCUGAAGUGCUUCCAGGAACAGAGGCGCUGAAGCCUGAAAACCCCAGGGGUCGGAGAGACCGUGAGAAACUUCCAGAGAUGGUGGGGAGACCUCCGUACACUCAGAGUUCCCUGGUGGGGUCUGCUGAGCUGUUGGACAAAGAAAAGCAACGGGGUGGAGUUUGAAGAGUUGGCUGAGUCCAGCGUCCACAGCUCACCUGACUCCUGCAAGUCCAGGAAGGGGAAGACCCUCAGGCGACCUUGGGGCAGGGCGGAAGGCUGGACACCCGAGCCACCUUCGGGGACAGUGCAGACAGCCCUGAAGCUGGCGAGCUGCGCCUCCUCCAGCAAGUCACGAGCUCUGCCUGCAUCAACGCCCACCUGUAAUGUGGGCAAGCAGGGACCUACUCCGAAGGGCUGUUACGGGUGCUCAAGCAACACCCAGCACACGGCCGCUUUAGCUGCGGUCCUGCAGAAGGGAGGACAUGAGCCCGGAGUGGGGUGCCCCACGCUUGCCUCAGGAAGACCAGACGCCCCAAGCCCUCCAGGCCCUCUCUUCUCUCAUGGCUCCUGUGUCUGCUGCUCUUCGCCCAUUUUCCUUCUGCUGAGGUUUUGCUGCUCUAUCGCACAAGUUCAGGCUGCAGACGAUCUUUCUCGCCCAUUUCCCAGUGCUGGCUUUUUGCUUCUCCCUGGCUCUGCCCAGUGCCCUCUGCCUCCACUGCUCUGCGUUUGGUUCCCCUGAUUUUGGGACGAGGGAAGAGGCAGGCGGGAGACACAGGGCCUGUGCCCUUGCAAGUGAGGGGGUUUAUAGCACUGUCAGCCUGUUCAGCGCGUGUCCGGCAUCAUGCAGGUCGGGCUCUAACCACUCCUACAACCUGCUGGGCGAUCUUAGCAAGUCCUGAGCCCUCUGCACAGGGGCCUCAGAUUCCUAGUUCGUAAAGAAGGGCAGUAAGCUCGGGCCCACAGCCAUUACACACCUGCCUUCCUGCCUGCCCUUCGGUGCACCUGAUACAGGUCUUGGUGGGGAGUCCCCAGUGUUGCCUUAGAUGGGUGUGAAGGGGUGGGGGUGUCCACCCAGAAUCUAGGGUGUAUUAGAGCAACUGAACUUUCAAAGGUGAAUGUUUCUUUUGCUAGGUUUCUCACCUAGAAAGUCACCAGGACUGAGGGAGCAGGACACGGACUUAAGUGAAAUUUGGCCUAAUCCACCCCUCCCUGUUGGACCCACAUUCCUGAACCCUUUGGUGGCAGGAAUGACAAUUAAUAUAGUUAAUAAUUAAUUCCUAAGAGCACUGAGAAGCCCAGGCUUGGGCGGGGCCCAGGCACCUGCAGGCCACUUCCCUGGUCCCCUCCGUUCUCCCUUCCCCUCUUCGUAGGCCCAGGCACCAACCCUCCCCCAAGCCCGCAGACCUGGGCCUGGGUGGGGCACAGAGCUGAAGAAAGGGGCCCUCCCUCCACUUGCUCCAAGCGCCCAUCAAAGCCCUCUCCUUGGAGGGAGAACCAGGACGUCCGGUGCCCGAACACUGGCGCCAGGAGACUUCAGACACCUCUUCCCACCAGAGACCUUGGGGCGACCAUGGGAUCCCAGCUGCUGCUCUUCUUCCUCCUGGCCCUCCUUGGCAGCUCGAGAGGAACAGCUCUGUCUCCUCCUCUGCCUCCCGUCAGGGACCAAUGUCACCCUCCAUCAUAAGGGACCCCGACACCACCUCAUCUGCAAAGCCUGAAGCUGCUGUGGGCCAUGCUCAACCCACCUUCACCAGGCCUGCUGCCUGCCAAUAAAUGUGCUCGUCAGCAGCUGACUCGG